CCGCAUCCUUGUGGAUCCUCGUUGGGUUCGUUAACUGCUGAGUCAAGAAAGGAACUCCAAGAUGUGCCUUGUACCUAAGCAACAGAUGUCUUGGGGAGCUCCACUGUGUCUGGGGCUCAUGGGCAGGCACUGUCUGUCACAGGAUUACCAAAGUCACAAAAGAGAAGAUACCUUGAAAGACCCUUAAGACAAGCAGUCCCCUUGGUACCCUUCGCCUCCCAAACUGACUAAUUGAUCUUGGUAAUUCAGUGUGAAACUACAGGCCCCACAGAUUGGCUCAGCGCAUGUCCUGCACCCUGCUUCUGGUCAUACCCGUUAAUACAAAUAAUUCAAGGUGUCUGGCUUCCUGGCACAGCCCCAGCUGGCUCCAUGCUCCUCCUUUGCCCACACAGAGGAGGAACCCAGAGCCCCAGUUGUCCCAUCAUCUUGGAAAAGGAAAGAAAGAGACUUUGGCAGGAAAUCAUUUCCUCCAAAUCGUCACUCUCCCAUUCUGUAUGUACGCUGCUUCCUAAAACUGGUACCAAAGAAAGUUCACUGGGGCCUUGGAGAAAUUGAAAAGGACCUGGGCUGUGUGGCUCUGGCCGAGCCCUUGACCCUCUCUGGGCCUUCACACACUGAUCAGUGAAACUACAGGAGGAGGCAAUUGCUCUGUGGACCCGGGGUGCCUGGAGAGAGCACUGAACUAGUAGGGAAAGGAGGGCAGUCCCUCCUGGCCCUUUGGUGCUCUGGUUAUCACCAAUAACUAGUUAGUAGUUAUCAUUACUAACUAGCAAUAGGCCAUGGUCAGGUCAUUUAACCUCUCUGACUCUCAGCAUCUUUAUCUGUGACAUUGAGACUGUAUCACUUCACAGCGUCGCCAGAACCAUUAUUUGAGAUGAUGCCUGCUUGUGUCAAGUGUCUGAAAUUAUUGUUCUUCUUGACUCCCUUUCUCCGAGUUUGGGUAAAGGGGGGCUAACAGCCCCAUCUCCUUUCUGGAAGUGGUAGUGGUUUCAGGAGGUGUCAGCUGUGGAAGGACCAUGACCAAGGGACAGUCAGGAUGGAGCCCCGGCUGGCAGACUUUCUCAGUGGCCCAGUGAGGCCUGUCUCACUGCGUCACCCUGACUUGGUGAAGCAGAACCCUGGCAAGAGCAGGGCUGGAGUGGCCGGGGUGUGUCUGGGGUGGGGGUGGGGGUAAGUGCAGUCACCAAGGGGGCCGGCAGCUUUGCGGAUCCUGGGCCCUCACUCACAAUUGGAGGAAGGAGUUCAGGAAGUGUUCUCAGCCACACUCAGACCUCACAGAGCCUCGUCCCAGGCAGGACCGAGGCUGCAGCACCCAGGGAUGAGCGUGAUGUGGCCUGGCCCCGGGGGUGGCUGCCAGGUCAGGAGGCCAUGGCACUGUGUUCAGCCAACAGGGAGCCCAGGGCGUCACCAGAGGGCUGGAUUAGCGAGGCUUCCUCUGAGCAAAGCCUUCUGCCUUCUUCCAGCCCCUCCGAGUCCAGGGAGUCUUGAGCUCACACUUUAAAGGACAUCGCUUCUUCCAGAGCUGCCAGUGGAGUUGCCCAUGGCUCUCAGAAGCCUGGCCUGAGGCUCAGGAAACAGUGACAGAGACCCAGUGAGAUUGGAGUAGGGCCAUGCGGGGCACCCAACAGCCCAGACAAGGCAGCAGUCAGGGCCUCAGACCAGCACCUUCUUAGAAGAUCACAGGGAGAGUGGCCUGAGGAGCGAGGGUACCUGCCAUCACCGAGAGCCCCGGCUUCAGACAGGGAGCUGAGGCUCCAAGACUCGUCCCAGGUUGCUCAGUGGGUCAGCGGCCACGCAGGGCCAUGGAAACGGCUGUGAUUGGAGUGGUGGCCGUGCUGUUUGUGGUCACCGUGGCCAUCACCUGCGUCCUCUGUUGCUUCAGCUGUGACUCGAGGGCCCGGGAUCCUCAGAGGGGCCCAGGCCACAGCUUCACGGUGGCCACGUUUCGCCAGGAGGCUUCUCUCUUCACGGGGCCAGGUUGCCAUAUCCAACCAGUGGCGGGUGCCCGGGACUUCUGGACCUUCAUGUGAGACCUGCCAGCUCUCGGCCUUUGCUCUGCUGGUGGUCAGACUUGUUUAUGCCCCAGCAAGCCUUCUCUGGUGACCCACUCCUCCAACGCUGGCUUUCCCGUCCUUCCCUGCCUGUGUCCAGUAAACCCUGUCCCAUGUCCUGCAGCCUGGGAGAUCCAUGGUGAUAGGACCAGGUGGAGUCAGCUCUGACCUCCAGAGCUCAGCUGGAUCCUAACCACAGGAUGGGGCUUAGGAGAGGUCCAGAGGGUGAGUGACUGAGUGUUGGAUGGCAUGGUGGACCAGGUCUUCUGAUCUACACAGUGAACUGAAAUCUCACCGGACUUUAUUGUGAAGAGUGUUGGGAGUUCCCAUCAUGGCACAGUGGAAAUGAAUCCACUAGGAACCAUGAGGUUGCGGGUUCGAUCCCUGGCCUUGCUCAGUGGGUCAAGGAUCUGGCGUUGCUGAGAGCUGUGGUGUAGGUCACAGGGGCUGCUCAGAUCUGGCGUUGCUGUGGCUGUGGUGUAGGCCGGUGGCUACAGCUCUGAUUUAACCCCUAGACUGGAAACCUCCACAUGCCAUAUAUGGCCCUGAAAAAACAAAAAGACAAAAAAAAAAAAAAAAAAAAAAGAGUGUUGGUUAACUCAGCUUAUCCCUGGAUGCCUGUGACCUGUGAAACUGAUUCUGUUGCCACCAGAGGAAGCAGAGCCCUCAAGUGGACAGUUUUACCAAUGACGUCUUCUCUGUUCCCGUAAUUGAGCCAGUUUGCUACUUGCUUGUGCUUUUGUGCAUCCUGCAGAGCUCACCCCGACACCUGCGCCCUGCUCGUUACCUGAAAUCAGCAGUGAAAUUCUGAAACCAAAGGGCUGCUUCCUGGGAACUGGUGAUUUAUUUUAUAAUUGAACAUGCCUAUCCUUUUAUGGGUCUCCUAAGAAUCGGGGUUGGGAAACUACAAAAGGAAACAGAAGAGAAAGAGUCACAGAAAGCCCAAGAUGUUUUAUUAACAGGAAAGCCAGAAAGAAGACUUUGCAACAUGUUUGGUAUGAGAAUUUAUCACUAAAUUCUUACAGAUCACUUAGAAGAUACUGUGAGGGACUUGGGUCCCUCAGGAAUGAUAGAAAAAUCGGCAACUGAAAGGUGAUUUUGAGUAAGUUAAAAUGUUUCAUUGACAGAUGUAACAAAGCUCUUGCUUGCAUCACAAAUAAAGAGAUGUUCAGUUUUUAUUUAC